rnacentral:lncRNA from 1 species
UAAUUCACUUUUAUUGACUAGUUUACGAUCACUAUUUGAAAAACAAACGAAAAGGCUUGGCUAGCCUGAUGUGUAUCGUUUCUACUGGGCUAAAACCCAAAACACUAAGGCUUGGCUAGCUUGUUUUGUUUUUUUCUCAUGCUUUCAAUAGAAAAAAAGUUGCAAAAAAAAAAAAAAAACAAACGAAAAGGAUACACCCAACUUUUGACCGAGUAGAUGUCAUUGUUAAUGUUUUUAAUGCCCCGUGCCAUGUGUUUCGAUUAUCAUACAACUUUUAUAACCUAGAGUACUCUCUGC